rnacentral:lncRNA from 1 species
GGGAAAGCCAGCAUGAGGCGAAGGGGCCAGUUUGAUCUUCAGAGUUAUCAUUCAAGAGUGUGACACUGAGAUUACACAAUGUCAUGCAGCUGCCUGGACUAGAUGUGGAUCUAUCUCUGCAAAAUCAACACAAAAAUAUCUUUCUGAUGGUGGUUAGAAGUGGCUGGCAUGAAAUGAGACUUUAG